GGAAGUAACUAGGGCAGUACCCGAAAGAAUUCCCACCCUUGACACUUUCCUACCGCAAAGCUCCCGAGAAGAAAGCGCCAAACAAACUCGGGAGCGCGCAACAACUGCCGUGGGCCUGAAGGGCCGACCUAACCCUUCGAGCGGGGGAAACCCGAAGGUGUGUAGCCUCCCUGCCGGGUGUAGACAGGGAGGUGAGUACCUAGGGUGUGCCCUAAGCUUGUAAACCCCGUUGCCAAUCUCAAUGUGCAACGGGGGCCCUAUGCGCCUUAGCAAGCCUGCUAAGGCGAAGCUGUGGACGAAACGGGUUAAGCAACCAGGUACAGCUAGGGGAGCCCCCAAGGCUGUGGUCCCAGUGCCCUUCCGAUAGUUUGGUGAUGCCCUGAAGGGACAAACACCGGUGUGCUCGGGGCGCACACCACCUGGUUUGUUGUCACCGUUAGGUUGCCCCAGGUACCGCUAAACCGCGGAUUUAAAAUAAAAUAGACUUUAUUUCUGUUAAAGAGAAACGGCGACAGUACAGCGCCAACAGGCGUGUACCGGCAAAAUCCGUAGCGGGGCUUCGACGCAGUGCUACGGCGUAGCAGGAAUCGUAGCAGCGUUACGAUGUGGGCGGGGUCUGCGCAGCAGGCGUAGCGGGCGCGACGUGCGUACGUGCGUGUUUUGUCGGGGAUAAGUUCCACGUGAACUUUUCUAGUAAGGCGGCUUAUGCACCCAAAUGACCAUGUUUGCCGCCUUAACAGCCGGCCCCUGUGGUACUUCCUCGUUUAUAAAUGUGUCUCAUCUAUUUCGACCACGUCAUUGUUUCCACCUAACAUUUCUCUAUCGUGAGGAUCCGCCACCUCGCACACCUCUCUUAACACGUUCACUGCGGCUGCGCAAUUUUAAGACUUACUGCCAGUGCUGUACAAGUCACAUACUUCCCGUAUCAAGAAUGCCUGAUGUGCGUUACGACGUCUAUGUUCCCGUAUGUAGUCCUGACUUCAAACCUCCACAGAGACGUGGAAAGUCCUCAGCAGAUAUUUUUUUCUGUACCAAUACAUAGUUAACAUCCUUGUGUAUGCACAGCUGCAGUAGCACAGGGUUCUUAGUAAUAUCUUAAAAGAUACAGGUAUUUUUGAAAAUGUUUGAUUUUACGGGAAAAUAUUUGUCGUGGCGCAUACAACAGUCGUAUUGCUAGGGAUGGGGUAUCAUAAAAACGCUAUUUUGUUUUAGAUUCAUAAUUUUUUAUUAGAGUAUUACACAAUCAACAAAACCUUUUUUGUAAUGGGAUGAGGAUCAGUCUUUUUAUUUUUAUUAAUUACUACUUCUUCUCAUAUACAAAAUUCGCUUGAUGGACUUAAAAAAAUUGAACUGUUUUUUUUUUUUGUACUAGAAGGUUUGGAAUUCGAUAAACUGGAACCACUACUCUGCACAAUAAUGUUUCUAGCCUCUUCACCUUCUGUUUUACCACCAUUCCCCAUAAUAAGUUUAUUGCGUGAACGUUUCAUUGUUCAUGUAUCUACAAUUUACCUACUUACGCGUGAAAGAUAAAAUAUCGCGUUCUAU